UUUUAUUUCUAUUUUUUCUCCUCUUUUUCCUCUACUCACUCUACCCUCUCCGCCCAUUCCUCUGCUCAUCUUUGUCCUUCUCACUCUCCCGUUUCUCCUUCCUCGUUUUUCUUCUCUCGUUCCAUCUCUUUCUAACUUUCUGAAGGAUGGCGUGCAAUUAUUGAUGGAGUGCAGAAGAAGGAGCAGCUAGUGUUAGGGAAUGAUAUGAGAUUUAUUGAUUUUUUUGAGAUCCGAGAAAAUUUUUUGGAUUUAAAGCUUCAAGUGUUGUGGGCGAAAUAGUUUUCUUUGGUAUUGCGCUUGUUCCUUCCCGUGGAGCCUUUAAGUUCUUAAAGAAGCCGAGAGAGGUAGAUGUAAUAAUUAGUGCUUCUUAUGUGAAUUUCAAGUGCAUGUUGAAAGAGCAAGCAAAAGUAUGCAGCCCUUUUUGCCAAUGAGUAUUCUGUCGCGCUUGUCUAAUAUUGGCGGUAAUCUUGGCAAUGGAAAACAGGAUGAUGCUCAUGAGUUUAUGAGGUUUUCCAUUGACAUAAUGCAAUCAGUCUGCUUUGAUGAAUUUGGUGGAGAGAAAGCUGUCGAUCGAUAAGAGCUGUAGUCAAACAAAUAGGGGAUAAUUUUAGAGAUUUCUAAUCGGAAUUGGCCAUAAUAAAUGUAUUAUUAAAAUUAUAUUUGAUAUGCAUUGUUUAUGUAUUGAAGAUGUAUCAGUUAUAUAUUUUUAUGUGAAUAUAUCAUUUUUUAUAUUGUUUA